rnacentral:rRNA from 1 species
AUUGAACGCUGGCGGCAGGCCUAACACAUGCAAGUCGAACGAGUAGCGGACGGGUGAGUAAUGUCUUGGAAACUGCCUGAUGUAGGGGGCUAACUACUGGAAACGGUAGCUAAUAGCGCAUACCGUCGGAUGGGGUCAGAGUGGAUUAGCUAGUAGGUGGGGUAAAGGCUCACCUAGGCGACAAUCCCUAGCUGGUCUGAGAGGUUUACCUGCCACACUGGAACUGAGACACGGUCCAGACUCCUACGGGAGGCAGCAGUGGGGAAUAUUCGACAAUGGGCGAAAGUCUGAUGGAGCCAUGCCGCGUGUAUGAAGAAGGCCUUCGGGUUGUAAAGUUCUUUCGUCGGGGAGGCGUUACCCGCAGAAGAAGCACCGGCUAACUCCGUGCCAGCAGCCGCGGUAAUUC